AGUGAACGCUGGCGGUAGGCCUAACACAUGCAAGUCGAACGGCAGCACAGUAAGAGCUUGCUCUUACGGGUGGCGAGUGGCGGACGGGUGAGGAAUACAUCGGAAUCUACUUUUUCGUGGGGGAUAACGUAGGGAAACUUACGCUAAUACCGCAUACGACCUACGGGUGAAAGCAGGGGAUCUUCGGACCCUGCGCGAUUGAAUGAGCCGAUGUCUGAUUAGCUAGUUGGCGGGGUAAAGGCCCACCAAGGCGACGAUCCGUAGCUGGUCUGAGAGGAUGAUCAGCCACACUGGAACUGAGACACGGUCCAGACUCCUACGGGAGGCAGCAGUGGGGAAUAUUGGACAAUGGGCGGAAGCCUGAUCCAGCCAUACCGCGUGGGUGAAGAAGGCCUUCGGGUUGUAAAGCCCUUUUGUUGGGAAAGAAAAGCAGCAGGUUAAUACCCCGCUGUUCUGACGGUACCCAAAGAAUAAGCACCGGCCAACUUCGUG
rnacentral:rRNA from 1 species